GACGAACGCUGGCGGCGUGCUUAACACAUGCAAGUCGAGCGGUAAGGCCCUUUCGGGGGUACACGAGCGGCGAACGGGUGAGUAACACGUGGGUGACCUGCCCUCAGCUCUGGGAUAAGCCUGGGAAACCGGGUCUAAUACUGGAUAUGACUCCAUGACGCAUGUUGUGGGGUGGAAAGCCUUGUGCGGCUGAGGAUGGGGCCCCGCGGG
rnacentral:rRNA from 1 species